rnacentral:rRNA from 1 species
AGAGUUUGAUCCUGGCUCAGGACGAACGCUGGCGGCGUGCCUAACACAUGCAAGUCGAACGGAACUGUUUUGAAAGAUUUCUUCGGAAUGAAUUUGAUUUAGUUUAGUGGCGGACGGGUGAGUAACGCGUGAGUAACCUGCCUUCAAGAGGGGGAUAACAUUCUGAAAAGAAUGCUAAUACCGCAUGACAUAUCGGAACCACAUGGUUCUGAUAUCAAAGAUUUUAUCGCUUGAAGAUGGACUCGCGUCCGAUUAGUUAGUUGGUGAGGUAACGGCUCACCAAGACCGCGAUCGGUAGCCGGACUGAGAGGUUGAACGGCCACAUUGGGACUGAGACACGGCCCAGACUCCUACGGGAGGCAGCAGUGGGGGAUAUUGCGCAAUGGGGGCAACCCUGACGCAGCAACGCCGCGUGAAGGAUGAAGGUUUUCGGAUUGUAAACUUCUUUUAUUAAGGACGAAACUUGACGGUACUUAAUGAAUAAGCUCCGGCUAACUACGUGCCAGCAGCCGCGGUAAUACGUAGGGAGCAAGCGUUGUCCGGAUUUACUGGGUGUAAAGGGUGCGUAGGCGGCUUUGCAAGUCAGAUGUGAAAUCUAUGGGCUCAACCCAUAAACUGCAUUUGAAACUGUAGAGCUUGAGUGAAGUAGAGGCAGGCGGAAUUCCCCGUGUAGCGGUGAAAUGCGUAGAGAUGGGGAGGAACACCAGUGGCGAAGGCGGCCUGCUGGGCUUUAACUGACGCUGAGGCACGAAAGCGUGGGUAGCAAACAGGAUUAGAUACCCUGGUAGUCCACGCUGUAAACGAUGAUUACUAGGUGUGGGGGGUCUGACCCCUUCCGUGCCGGAGUUAACACAAUAAGUAAUCCACCUGGGGAGUACGG